GUAGACAUAGUUUAAUCAAAACAUUAGAUUGUGAUUCUAAAAACAGAAGUUAGACUCUUCUUGUCCACC
rnacentral:tRNA from 1 species